rnacentral:rRNA from 1 species
CACGUAGGGGGCAAGCGUUGUUCGGAAUUAUUGGGCGUAAAGGGCGCGUAGGCGGCCCUGUCAGUCAAGCGUGAAAGCCCCGGGGCUCAACCCCGGAAUUGCACUGGAGACGGCCAAGCUUGAGUGUGGGAGAGGAUGGUGGAAUUCCCAGUGUAGAGGUGAAGUUCGUAGAUAUUGGGAAGAACACCGGUGGCGAAGGCGGCCAUCUGGACCAUUACUGACGCUGAGGCGCGAAAGCGUGGGGAGCAAACAGG